rnacentral:lncRNA from 1 species
CUCGAAUUGCUCUUGAUAUUCUUCCACCGUCCCUUGUUGUGACAACUUAUUGAAUUCCUCGACAACAUCGGUUAACCCGUUUGCAUCAAAUCGAUGACAAACCUCUUGCACAAAUAUUUCCCAAUUAACUACUCCUUUUUCUGCAAGAAACCCAUGGAACCAUAUGUCGACCUUCGGUUCUAAAUGCAUACAUGCUAAUUCCAGUUUCUGAUGCUCUCUAAUUCCAUAGAUAUCAAAAUAUUUCUCACAUUUCCGAACCCAGCUUCUGGGAUUGCUCCCGCUAAAUAUCGGAAACUC